GCUUCGGUUCCGCCGUCAUGGGCGGCGGAUGAAAAGGGAACGCGGUGCGGGGGUCUCCCCCAAAGCCGCGGCUGCCCCCGCAACUGUGAGCGGCGAGCGACACCGGCACACGCCACUAUCGCCCAAGCGAUGGGAAGGCCCGGUCGAGCGAGGACCCGCGAGCCAGGAGACCUGCCGAGGCG
rnacentral:ncRNA from 1 species